GCGACGCAGGCCUGAUUCGAACAGACGCCUCCGAGGAGAAUAGAUUUCUAGUCUAUCGCAUUAGACCACUCUGCCACUGCGCC
rnacentral:tRNA from 1 species